CGUAGGGACCAAGCGUUGUUCGGAUUUACUGGGGCGUAAAGGGCGCGUAGGCGGCGUGGUAAGUCACUUGUGAAAAUCCUCUGAGCUUAACUCAGAACGGCCAAGUGAUACUGCUGUGCUAGAGUGCAGAAGGGGCAAUCGGAAUUCUUGGUGUAGCGGUGAAAUGCGUAGAUAUCAAGAGGAACACCUGAGGUGAAGACGGGUUGCUGGGCUGACACUGACGCUGAGGCGCGAAAGCCAGGGGAGCAAACGGGAUUAGAUACCCCGGUAGUCCUGGCCCUAAACGAUGAAUACUUGGUGUCUGGAGUUAUUAGUGCUCCGGGUGCCGUCGCUAACGUUUUUAGUAUUCCGCCUGGGGAGUACGCUCGCCAAGAGUG
rnacentral:rRNA from 1 species